AUCGGGACAUUUGGGAGGUAUGGGGGUGUGUGAGGGGUAUGUCAUACAGACAGACGGGCACCGGCUCACUGUGUGCUUGACCCCCCACAUCGGCAUACUCAGCAGGGUCUCUCUGGCGGGGAGGAGCGUCACUUUCUGGCACACUCCACGCUUCUUAGCUGCAGUUUAGUGGGGCACCUGCCGCUGUGCACGUUCCGUACUGCCUCUGUUAUCUCCAGCCCCGGCAACCCCACCGCUAGCUGCAGCACUGCCACCCGCAGUGAGGUGCGCCCAGCUCCUUCUCACACUUUAGCUGGCGGGUAGCGCUACAGAAGUCCGAGCUGCUUGCAGGCUCUGACCCACUCCUCCCUCCAGCCGCAGCGUCUCCUGGGAGCUAACCAGUCACUCCCAGUCUCCCCUUACCACAGUGCCCGGAAGCCGCGAGGUCCGCGCCACGUGCAUGCUAUGACCCCCUCCUCCCUCCAGCCGCAGCAUCUCCUGGGGGCUAACCAGUCAUUUCCAGUCUCACCUUACCACAGUGCCCGGCAGCUGCGCGAGGUUUGCGGUGUGUGACUGAGGAGGGGGGGAGGGAUGCGGACGGGCAGAGGAAGCAGGAAUCCAGCCUGAGAGAGUCAGCCAUGCCAAGUCUCCAGCAGCAGCAGAUCCCAACAGGUUGGAGUGGAACAGCAGCAGCCAGCAGCAGUGACUCCGCUGCAACGACUGGGGCCAAACAGACAACAGACAUCACCCUCGAUAUGGAAAAGAGAACAGAACAAAUGAAACAGUGCGGAGGGCCCUGCUCGCAAGAGCUGGCAUUCUACACUGUGGCUGUGAUUAUGAGUAAUGAACUGGUGAUUCUGCAAGUGAAAAUGCACCUUGGGCCCAGCACUGAGGGGGUUAACCCUAGCGCGCAGACUGAAGUAUAUAACGUGGGGUGGGGGUGCGAGGGGAGAUAUUUGGACAGAAAAACAUUCUUCUUCAAGAAAACUCUCAUUUUAAAAUCGGUCCAAAAUACUCAGACGGUUCCCAGAUCAGUAAUAACACUUAGUGCCGACCUUCCCUUCCCAGGAGGAGAACCUUCCACAAUGAUAAAUCUGUAGGCAUACUCACUCCAGCUAUACGGAUCAGCAUUUAUUUGGGAAGUGAUUAAUCUCCCACCUCCCAUUACGUCCCAUUUUGCAGUGAAAAUUCAGCUACUUUUAAUGUAUUCUCUUGUCCACGCCCUCCUGCAAUGCAGUGUUCUCUUUGUCAUCUUCCCGUCUGUGCUUUUCAGCCAUGUGUUUUGCAGUAUUCUCAUUGUUGGAGGAUAUGACACAAUGUUGCCCUCUAGAUAGAAGUGUAUUGUGCAGAAGGGUUACAUUCAGGACAAUGCACAUGAAAUACAGUGCCUGAUUAUAUAACUGCCUGGCUGAAGAUAACAGAGGACCACAGAAAGAGAAACAAUGUAGAGUUGCAGAGGAGCGGGGAUGAAUCAAUGGAAGACAGGAGACUCCCCGCAGAGUCAGACAGACAGGAGAUUUGUACAUCUGGAGAUGUAUAUAUAUUUGUAGCAGGAUUCAGCUUUGGAACGAGGCCAAACUCUGUCUCUGGAGAGAACUCAAACACCUAAAACAUGUUAGUAAAUGUCUAGUAAAAAUUA